UGGGAGAAAAAAUGGAUCUGGUUUAUUGGCAUUUCUUUAAACAAAUCACAAUCAUCAUGUAUGGCUCUAAGCUCCAGACGGAGCCAGAGUGCCUCUGCCAAAUAGUCUCAGGAAGGAAGUUGUUUUGGUGGAACAUGUGUACGUUCAGAGGUAGUUUUAGUCUUCAACAGAAAACUCAGAUUGGACAGAUAGUCUAGCUAGCUGUCUGGAUUU